UACGUAGGGGGCUAGCGUUGUCCGGAUUUAUUGGGCGUAAAGAGCGUGUAGGCGGCCAGGUAGGUCCGGUGUGAAAACUCGAGGCUUAACCUCGAGAUGUCAUCGGAAACCAUCUGGCUAGAGUCCGGAAGAGGAAAGUGGAAUUCCUGGUGUAGCGGUGAAAUGCGCAGAUAUCAGGAGGAACACCAAUGGCGAAGGCAGCUCGCUGGGACGGUACCGACGCUGAGGCGCGAAAGCGUGGGGAGCGAACAGG
rnacentral:rRNA from 1 species